UUACGGUCACAUCACGUAGAAACACCGGUUCCCGUACGAUCACCGAAGUUAAGCAACGUCGAGCCUGCUCAUUACCUAGAUGGGUGACCACUUGGGAAUACAGGUGCUGUAAG